CAGCUAUACAUGCAAGUCGUGGGGCAGCAUGGGGUAGCAAUACUCUGAUGGCGACCGGCAAACGGGUGCGGAACACGUACGCAACCUUCCCAAAACUGGUGAAUAGCCCUCCGAAAGGAGGAUUAAUACACCGUAACAUAACGAAGUGGCAUCACUUUGUUAUUAUAGCUCCGGCGGUUUUGGAUGGGCGUGCGCCUGAUUAGGUAGUUGGCGGGGUAACGGCCCACCAAGCCUACGAUCUGUAACUGGUGUGAGAGCACGACCAGUCACACGGGCACUGAGACACGGGCCCGACUCCUACGGGAGGCAGCAGUAAGGAAUAUUGGUCAAUGGGCGCAAGUCUGAACCAGCCAUGCCGCGUGAAGGAUGAAGGUCCUCUGGAUUGUAAACUUCUUAUAUCUGGGACGAAAAAAGGGCUUUCUAGCUCACUUGACGGUACCAGAGGAAUAAGCACCGGCUAACUCCGUGCCAGCAGCCGCGGUAAUACGGAGGGUGCGAGCGUUAUCCGGAUUUACUGGGUUUAAAGGGUGCGUAGGUGGGCAGGUAAGUCAGUGGUGAAAUCUUCGAGCUUAACUCGGAAACUGCCAUUGAUACUAUCUGUCUUGAAUGCCCUGGAGGUAAGCGGAAUAUGUCAUGUAGCGGUGAAAUGCUUAGAUAUGACAUAGAACACCAAUUGCGAAGGCAGCUUACUACGGGGUGAUUGACACUGAGGCACGAAAGCGUGGGGAUCAAACAGGAUUAGAUACCCUGGUAGUCCACGCCCUAAACGAUGGAUACUCGACAUACGCGAUACACUGUGUGUGUCUGAGCGAAAGCAUUAAGUAUCCCACCUGGGAAGUACGACCGCAAGGUUGAAACUCAAAGGAAUUGACGGGGGUCCGCACAAGCCGGUGGAGCAUGUGGUUUAAU
rnacentral:rRNA from 1 species